UGCAUUCUAUGGCGUAUAGCUGAAGUUAAGGGACAUAAUGUCAGGUUUCUGUUGCUGGGAGGGCUACUGGGAAAUCAUCCACAUCUAGGAGUUGUACUGCCCUGUCAAUGGGGGGUUAGGGUGGAGUUGGUGGGACUAAAAAAAACACCCCCUUUCUCCGGAAAUAUCGGGGGGGAAACCGCCUCUAAACCAGAGCAAACGGGAUCAAUUAGGCUGAAAGAUCUUGCACGCCUUCUCUCUGAAGAGGCAAUUGCCACUACACGCGGGAUAAUCCAAAGAUCCUGAGGGUCAAAUCUCUCGGACAAUUCGGGAGGGGGCAAAACGUGUGGGGGGAAUUUAGGGGAAAAAAAUUAAAAAUAUAGGCAGGCUUAGUGAAGAAUUCCAAAAGAUUAAUAAAAUUGGCUAGGUUUAAACAGCCUUGACCAUCUAAAUUUGGGUAACACCAAGUCUGAUGCUUGUGCCGUGGUUUAAGAGUAGAAGUUUUUAAAAGUCAAAACUUUUUGUUUUAAAACACAUUAAAGCUAGAAAGCAUACUGAGCUUUGUACCGUUGCGUAGAUACCCCAGCAGUCAUCUAAAAAGAGAGUCACUGUUUCAAGCUAGACUGCAUGGUGGCGAACUGUAAUAGUCUAGCGAUCUCUGAAUAGAAUGUAAUGAACCAUAACGUAUGUGUGUAGAUCAAGGCUUCACUAUCAUUUCCGAUGGAUCGGUCCAAUGCGGAGUGGCGCUCGGCUUUCUGCUCCCCUCGUGCCUGGGAGUGGACAGGAGAUAUUGUCGGGGCAGGGGGGUGGGGGGUGGGAGUGCUGGGAUGAAAGCCUGUACCUUUGAUCCUGUAAUGAAGCAUGUCUGUACUGUCGGGCUCUGGCAACGCCCUGUUAAACGAUGAACUGUUCGAGUUUGUUCCUAAUUAUUUUUUGUGAUAAUGUGCUGCUGCGCUCUUUUUAAAAAAAAAGUGUAAAUUGAAAUGGCAAGUGUUCAAAGAAAAAAAGCUUUUUUUAAAAAACACCCCUUGCUAGGACCUGUGACUUUUUUUAAUUGUUCUAUAGUUGAUUCCAUGUUCCUGAACUGCAGUUUGACACAGGUGUGCUAUUGGUGGUGAGAGGUAGGAGAUAUUUGCUCUGUGCUGAAUGGAUUAAGGAUUAACUGAUGGAGCUACUGCAUUGAUAGAUGUUUGCGGGGGAAUACGACUAGUUUUUCAGUAGCCACAAACAGGCAAAAAUGUAAUUGUAUUCUAGAUGGGUUUAUGGUUAUUAUGACAACCUAUUUGGUCAGUGUAUUGGCUGAGAUGUUGUACUUGCAGAGUAGGGUCCUGCCAAUGAGGACUUUGGGCAAUAUGUUUCCAAUUUAGGCAAAUAAUGGACGCAACAAUAGUUUCCCGCUAGUUUCCAUUUUUGCUUUUCAAACCUACUAUCAUCAGAAUCAUUCUGAAUGUGAUCACUGUAUCCUCUGCUAUAGAUGCUAACACUAGAUCUGACCAAGCAUUGGAGAACUGAGACCCGUGGCAAAACAGUCCAGUAGGCAACUCAUGAAAUGGCUUCAGUCCAAAUCCUGCAAAACUACGUUAUUUGGUGUUGGGAGUUGACAUGCCACGAUUAAAAUAAAUUUAUAUGGCCCAUUUCUUCCCUCUAGUCAUGAGUGAUGUUCAGCUCCAAAAACCACAUGGGCUUUCAAUGUUUGCCUGCUAGUUGUGAGCAUUGUGCCUCUCAUCUGUCAAACCACGAACCCAGCCUGCCAUGGACUGAUCAGAAGCGCAUACGUGUCACUGGUUUUGUGUGGACCAGGUAGAGAUUUCCAACACCACACCUUUCCCCCCCCCCCCCCCCCCCCCCCCCCCCCCCCACCACCCCAAGAAAUAAUGUGCUGUAUAACUGGCUUACAAUGAAACGUACAAGUUCCCACCUGCUUGCUGAGCCACUAGUUUAUUAAGAACCACUCACUGGAUCUCUUGCUACAUUGACCAGUGUAAACUGUUAUUACAGCGCCCAUUAUUCUUGUCCCUGGGAAAGUAGUGGUGUCUUUAGUUCAAGUCCUGUAACCAUUCCUGUUUUCUCUUAGCAGGUUUGUCCCUUGCUUGUGGGAAAUCUUUUGUAAAAUUAUUUUCAACAGUUAAGUGAAGUUCUAGGGACACAAGGAUUAAAUUGAUGGUCACAUUUUGCCCAGGUUCUUGGUCUCUCCUACAUUAGAGUGAGGCAAGAUGCUCUGGGCCUCAUUCCUCUGGUCUUUGUGUCUCUAAAAAGCGUACGGUGAACAUUUUGUCUCUGAAUUGUUGUGAUUCGUGUCAUAUUUAAUGUGAUAAGGAUGUUAGUCUGCAGGUGAGAAAUUUAAUGUUGCUAAUAAAUGAGGAGAGUCUGGCUCCAAGUGCCCCUGGGAGCAGAGCAUGUAUUGGCUCUGGUCACUGGUGCAUUUCCCCAGCUGCGUGAGGCCAGGCGAUAGAUUGUUAAACCCUUAAUGUCCAACCGGACUUGGUGUUGGCGGGUAUUCUAUUUGUUUGCUGAUGGCAAGUGGUAAUUUGGACCAGUCCCGACUAUUAGUUGUAUUUCCUUGUCCAUAUGACCCGAAUUUUGGAAUUUCGUUCCUUGUCUCUUUAGAUUUGUUUUCUGUUUGACCUUUGACAACCAUUUCUAGAAAUAACAUCGUCUCUUUCUUCCCCCCCCCCCCCCCAGCCUCCCAAAAUGGGAUGGUUCUGAAUUAUUUUCAUUGAUUUCUGGGGUAUUGUGGUAUUGGGCAGUCAGUGCUAUCUGGCUGCUGGCACGGACCUUGGUGUGGUCUAACAGUAUCUACCAUUGCCACUGGACUGGAGGUCCACAGACCUGUCAGGAAUGUACUGAUCUUGCUCAUUUUGCACAGUGCUUGUGUGUGGAACUCUAUUGGGACAAAAGAGAAGAUGGAACAAAGAGCUCAGCUCUCCUCUAUGAAGCAAAUCCAAAUCUUUACCAGCAAUCACCAAGACCAGGGUUGGAUUAUAUUUUGUGCGGCUUCAAAGGGCCCUGAUGUAAACUGUGCUUGGAGUACCUGCCAAUAGAUUGUGUGUUAGUUGUGAGUCUGUUUUAAUUUAUUUAUGUUUGUGUUCAGCUGUAGCUCUCUACAAUAGCAGUAAGGAGGUGAGAGUGAGUUUAGAGGGUGAGUGAAUCUGUUGGAGGGAUUGUGGUGCUCCUGUGCCAUGACAUCAAGAAGCAAACAACUGUCUUUAUCUGGCUGUACCUCAAACUGUCUGAGCACUUGCAGACUGAAUGUUGCAUGCUCAAUGUGGUGCAUAUGUUUCUAAUCCUUAAAUGUUAUUCAUAGAAGUAAACAGCAGUGUUUCUUUGUCAUGCUGAUGUAAUCACGAUGUAGCCUGAGUAUAUUGUUUGAACCAAAAUGGGAAGGUGGUGUUUUGGAGGGAUGGGGAAGGGAGGAAAAGGAUAAUUGGGAAUGUUAGUGACAGAGCAUUGAACAGAUAUUGAGCUGCUUUAUUUUUAACUGGGUGGUAAGAGGUUUUGGCAUUUUUGCCUCUUCACUCACUGCCAUUUUCACGAGCGAGGUCACACCCGAAAAGUCAAAGGCCUACCCCGGGCCAUGUUGCCUGAAAGGUAUUCUUCCUUUGUUAGAUGGCGACGCCAUGAGCAAUUGGAAUCAAGGCAGAGUCUGAUUUCCCCUCAGUGAUCUGCAGGGCAGUCAUUUUCCCUGGGGAGGGAGGAGGGUGCAAAGUGGGAACUCGCCUGGAAACAACGAGCAUUUUUACAGGGGUGUCUUGAGAUGAGUUGGGUAACUAAAUCGUAUUAUACAUUAUGAAUAAAAGGGAAGGGGUGGGGACCCAUUGGGAAAAUUUGUGGCAGGGGGGUGGAAUUCCAGGUCCCCUCGUCUCUUGGCUGAGAGUUGAGCAGCAUUUACUGUUGUCAUCUCCCUGGCUCUGCUAGAUGCUGGUCUGAUUAUCACUGUGACACCAGGCAGAUUUGAAGACGGAAUUGGAAUUUUGCUGCUCCACAGUUGCACUGAUGCUGGGCACAGAUGCCAGUGUUCUGACUGAACGGUGCAUCCAAGCACAGAGCUUCAGUGGGCAGAUGGUUGGCAUUUUCUCUAGCCUCCCAAUUGGGGUGGAUCUUUGGGCCUGUGGGUUGUCCAGUGGUGUGGAUCAGUAGUAAGGAGCUGGGUUGUGCCAGUGUGCUGCAUACUGUAUUGUAUUAACAAUAUCACUGACACUAAUCUCAAUGGUCUGUAAAAGGAAGGUUUAGCUUGAUUCUGAUGUCAAAAAUAUAUUGGUUACCAGUUUGCACAACUGAAAAGUGACUAUUUUAACAGCCCUGCGUGGGAUUGAGGGUAAAAACACUGUCUAAGAUGUAAACGUUGGUUCAGGCAAGGAGUAUCUGAGAAAGGGCAUGUCUCCCCGCUGCGUCUUGCCAUGCCUGGUUGCCUGCUCUUACCCCGCACAUGUCCGCACUCAAAUAGAAAUUCUCAGUGCCUGCUCACACAUUGCUACUGUUGUGACGCAUUCUCCUGCGAAAAGCCAAGCAGGAGACUAUUUUGAAAACGACAUUCACUAAAGCUAUGCAGUCUCUGAUCCUGAGAUGUGGGAACUGGGUACAUUAUAAAGCAGGAAGGCAGUCUGUUUGAUGGCAAGGCUGUCCAGUGAGUGAAGAGCCAGGCCAUGUUUGGAUCUCCGGUCUGCAUGCAGGCAACCUUUCCUAGGUAUGCUAUUCCAUUGCUCGGAGGAGAUGAAUGCUUUGGAGAUGUUUCUCAGAUGCUCUUAUUGCUGGACUUGUGACUAAAACUGACCCCAUCCCUGAACUCCUGUACAAGUGUUAUGCCGUUGUCCCCUUUUAACUUUGAGUUGUAUAUUUGUAAAUGUGCGGUGUGUUUCCUGUGAAUUGAUCAGUAUAAUGCCGGCCGUUUGCACCUUUGCUCAACUGAGAUUUUUUUCUCAUUUUUAUAUAAAUUUGUUUUUUAUUUUAUUUUUUCCUUUAUUGACUAAAAUUGGUUUCUUGUGACUCUA